rnacentral:rRNA from 1 species
AUUGAACGCUGGCGGAAUGCUUUACACAUGCAAGUCGAACGGUAGAGGGGGCAACCCCUCGAGAGUGGCGAACGGGUGAGUAAUAUAUCGGAACGUGCCCAGUCGUGGGGGAUAACGUAGCGAAAGUUACGCUAAUACCGCAUACGAUCUAAGGAUGAAAGCGGGGGAUCGCAAGACCUCGCGCGAUUGGAGCGGCCGAUAUCAGAUUAGGUAGUUGGUGGGGUAAAGGCGCACUAAGCCAACGAUCUGUAGCUGGUCUGAGAGGACGACCAGCCACACUGGAACUGAGACACGGUCCAGACUCCUACGGGAGGCAGCAGUGGGGAAUUUUGGACAAUGGGCGAAAGCCUGAUCCAGCCAUUCCGCGUGCAGGAUGAAGGCCCUCGGGUUGUAAACUGCUUUUGUACAGAACGAAAAGGUUUCUACUAAUACUAGGAGCUCAUGACGGUACUGUAAGAAUAAGCACCGGCUAACUACGUGCCAGCAGCCGCGGUAA